AUUUCUAGAAUGUUCGUUAGUUUUGUUCUACCAAAGUGGAACUUUCUUCUUCCUUUAAUGCAUCAUACAGAUUUCCUUAGCUAUCGUCAUGUAAGUCUUAUAGUUCUCCUUCAGAUGUGUUUAGUGUCAUACUGCAGUAGGCUGACAAUUAUCAGGCCCUUUUGAGGGGGUCGCAUUCUCCUUCCUGUACGAGACCUUCCUCUAGUGAUGUCUAUCGAACAGUAGUCUAACUCUCUUGCUAACUUUUGUGGCCGCCUUGGGUUUACUCAGCUUGCUUUAAGGUUUUCCUUAAUUAACGAAGCUUGCAAAAUGAGCAAAGAUAUAAACAAGCUGGGUUCCUUUUGUCUAUAGUCCGACUUUUCAAUUAAUUGUGACUUUAGGGACCUCUUUCUCUGUUUGGUUGAGCGUGCCUCGACUCUUAUGGUACUAGCUUGGUUAAUGAUCCGAAAGAGGUCAUUAGUUAUACUGCAAAGGGAAUAAGCCUUCGUUUAAGAUUAUGCGAAGUUUGUAUGAACAUCCCAAUCUUGUACUGACUCUAAGUUCGAGAAUGUCAAUGCUCCUGUUAGUAUGUCUGUUUUAUCUAGGAUUUGAAAUUCGAACAGCCAUUAACUUGAAACCCUAGUUUUAUUUUUAAAUAACUACUUAACCCUAGUAGUGACAACUGUGAUCGAAUGUAACCUAGUUACACAGCAGCGCCUCUAACUUUUGAGCAAACCAUGCCCCAUGUUUUAGAGGAGAUGCUAGCUGACGAUAUGGGGUUAAAAUAGCGUAGCUAUGUCAAACCUUUGUCAACAGCUGUAUUUAACGAAGUUCUAUUUAUAGGCCUAAACUCGUUGGAGAUAACUAAGUAAUAAAAGUUUGAAGACUUGGUGGACGGGUCCGUCAUCCUGGCUUAGAUAAAAGGCUCGUAUUGACUUUUACU